rnacentral:rRNA from 1 species
UACAGAGGUCCCGAGCGUUGUUCGGAUUCACUGGGCGUAAAGGGCGCGUAGGUGGUUUGAUAAGGGUGUGGUGAAAGCCCGGGGCUCAACCCCGGGUCUGCCGUGCCGACUGUUAAACUCGAGGGCUGUAGAGGCAGACGGAAUUCCGGGUGUAGCGGUGGAAUGCGUAGAGAUCCGGAGGAAGACCGGUGGCGAAGGCGGUCUGCUGGGCAGUUUCUGACACUGAUGCGCGACAGCGUGGGGAGCAAACAGG